rnacentral:rRNA from 1 species
ACCGGCGCACGGGUGCGUAACGCGUAUAGACCUACCUUUUACAGAGGAAUAGCCUUUAGAAAUGAAGAUUAAUGCCUUAUGGUCUGGCAUCAGUAAAGAUUUAUCGGUAAAAGAUGGCUAUGCGUCCUAUUAGUUAGUUGGUAAGGUAACGGCUUACCAAGACAGCGAUAGGUAGGGGUCCUGAGAGGGAGAUCCCCCACACUGGUACUGAGACACGGACCAGACUCCUACGGGAGGCAGCAGUGAGGAAUAUUGGACAAUGGAGGAGACUCUGAUCCAGCCAUGCCGCGUGUAGGAAGAAUGCCUAUGGGUUGUAAACUACUUUUAUACAGGAAGAAACACUGGUAUGUAUACCAGCUUGACGGUACUGUAAGAAUAAGGACCGGCUAACUCCGUGCCAGCAGCCGCGGUAAUACGGAGGGUCCGAGCGUUAUCCGGAAUCAUUGGGUUUAAAGGGUCCGCAGGCGGUCGAUUAAGUCAGAGGUGAAAUCCCAUAGCUCAACUAUGGAACUGCCUUUGAUACUGGUUGACUUGAGUCAUAUGGAAGUAGAUAGAAUGUGUAGUGUAGCGGUGAAAUGCAUAGAUAUUACACAGAAUACCCAUUGCGAAGGCAGUCUACUAUAUGGUACCUGACGCUGAGGAACGAAAGCGUGCGCAGCAAACAGGAUUAGAUACCCUGGUAGCUC